UGGCUCAGUUGGUAGAGCAUGGUGUUUGCAACACCAGAGUUGUGGGUUUGAUUCCCAC
rnacentral:tRNA from 1 species